CAGGUCUCAUGUCAGCUGUUAAUAACUGUCGACAGGUCUCAAGUCAGCUGUAAUUAACUCUGUCAACAGGUCUCAGGUGAGCUGUUACUCUGUUGACAGGUCUCAGGUCAGCUGUUAUUCACUCUGUCGACAGGUCUCAGGUCAGCUGUUAUUAACUCUGAAUAGGUCUCAGGUCAGCUGUCAUUAACUCUGGUAGGUCUCAGGUCAGCUGUUAUUAACUCUGGACAGGUCUCAGGUCAGCUGUUAUUAACUCUGUCGACAGGUCUCAGGUCAGCUGUUAUUAACUCUGAAUAGGUCUCAGGUCAGCUGUUAUUAACUCUGGUAGGUCUCAGGUAAACUGUUAUUAACUCUGUCGAGAGGUCUCAGGUCAGCUGUUAUUAACUUUGAACAGGUCUCAGGUCAGCUGUUAUUAGCUCUGAACAGGUCUCACGUCAGCUGUUAUUAACUCUGAACAGGUAUCAGGUCAGCUGUUAUUCACUCUGUCAGGUCUCAGGUCAGCUGUUAUUAACUUUGAACAGGUCUCAGGUCAGCUGUUAUUAACUCUGAACAGGUCUCACGUCAGCUGUUAUUAACUCUGAACAGGUCUCAGGUCAGCUGUUAUUAACUUGGUUGGUUUCAGGUCAGCUGUUAUUAACUUGGUAGGUCUCAGGUCAGCUGUUAUUAACUAUGUCAGGUCUCAGGUCAGCUGUUAUUAACUCUAAACAGGGCCCGGGGUUAGCUGUUAUUGACUCCUUCAUGUCUCAGGUCAGCUGUUAUCCAUUUGUCAACAGGUCUAAGGUCAGCUGUAAUUAAGUCCGUCAACAGGUCUCAGGUCAGCUGUUGUUAACUCUGUCUACAGGUUUCAGGUCAGCUGUUACUGACUCUGUCGACAGGUCUCAGGUCAGCUGUUAUUAACUGUCGACACGUCUCAGGUCAGCUGUAAUUAACUUGGUAGGUCUCAGGUCAACUAUAAUUAACUCUGUCAGGUAUCAGGUCAGCUGUUAUUAGCUAAACAGGUCUCAGGUCAGCUGUUAUUAACUCUGUCAACAGGUCUUACGUCAGCUGUUAUUAACUCUAAACAGGUCUCGGUUAGCUGUUAUUGACUCCUUCAUGUCUCAGGUCAGCUGUUAUCCAUUUGUCAACAGGUCUAAGGUCAGCUGUAAUUAAGUCCGUCAACAGGUCUCAGGUCAGCUGUUGUUAACUCUGUCUACAGGUUUCAGGUCAGCCGUUACUGACUCUGUCGACAGGUCUCAGGUCAGCUGUUAUUAACUGUCGACACGUCUCAGGUCAGCUGUAAUUAACUUGGUAGGUCUCAGGUCAACUAUAAUUAACUCUGUCAGGUAUCAGGUCAGCUGUUAUUAGCUAAACAGGUCUCAGGUCAGCUGUUAUUAACUCUGUCAACAGGUCUUACGUCAGCUGUUAUUAACUCUAAACAGGUCUCGGUUAGCUGUUAUUGACUCCUUCAUGUCUCAGGUCAGCUGUUAUCCAUUUGUCAACAGGUCUAAGGUCAGCUGUAAUUAAGUCCGUCAACAGGUCUCAGGUCAGCUGUUGUUAACUCUGUCUACAGGUUUCAGGUCAGCCGUUACUGACUCUGUCGACAGGUCUCAGGUCAGCUGUUAUUAACUGUCGACACGUCUCAGGUCAGCUGUAAUUAACUUGGUAGGUCUCAGGUCAGCUGUAAUUAACUCUGUCAGGUAUCAGGUCAGCUGUUAUUGGCUAAACAGGUCUCAGGUCAGCUGUUAUUGACUCUGUUGACAGGUCUCAGGUCAGCUGUGAUUAACUCUGUCAACAGGUCUUACGUCAGCUGUUAUUAACUCUGAACAGGUCUCAGGUCAGCUGGUACUGACUCUGUCAUGUCUCAGGUCAGCCAUUUGUGGCUCUGCUGACAGGUCUCAGGUCAGCUGUUAUCCACUUUGUCAACAGGUCUAAAGUCAGCUGUUAUUAACUGUCGACCCGUCUCAGGUCAGCUGUAAUUAACUUGGUAGGUCUCAGGUCAGCUGUAAUUAACUCUGUCGACAGGUCUCAGGUCAGCUGUUAUUAGCUAAACAGGUCUCAGGUCAGCUGUUAUUGACUCUGUUGACAGGUCUCAGGUCAGCUGUGAUUAACUCUGUCAACAGGUCUUACGUCAGCUGUUAUUAACUCUGAACAGGUCUCAGGUCAGCUGGUACUGACUGUCAUGUCUCAGGUCAGCCAUUUGUGGCUCUGCUGACAGGUCUCAGGUCAGCUGUUAUCCACUUUGUCAACAGGUCUAAAGUCAGCUGUUAUUAACUGUCGACCCGUCUCAGGUCAGCUGUAAUUAACUCUGUUGACAGGUAUCAGGUCAGCUGUUAUUAGCUAAACAGGUCUCAGGUCAGCUGUUAUUGACUCUGUUGACAGGUCUCAGGUCAGCUGUGAUUAACUCUGUCAACAGGUCUUACGUCAGCUGUUAUUAACUCUGAACAGGUCUCAGGUCAGCUGGUACUGACUGUCAUGUCUCAGGUCAGCCAUUUGUGGCUCUGCUGACAGGUCUCAGGUCAGCUGUUAUCCACUUUGUCAACAGGUCUAAAGUCAGCUGUUAUUAACUCCGUCAACAGGUCUCAGGUCAGCUGUUAUUAACUGACAUUUCUGAGGUCAGCUGUUGUUAACUCUGUCUACAGGUUUCAGGUCAGCCGUUACUGACUCUUGCGACAGGUCUCAGGUAAGCUGUUAUUGACUCUGUCGACAGGUCUCAGGUCAGCUGUGAUUAACUCUGUCGAUAGGUCUCAGGUCAGCUGUUACUCACUUUGAACAGAUCUCAGGUCAGCUGUUAUUAACUCUGUUGACAGGUCUCAGGUCAGUUGUUAUUAACUCUGUCAGGUCUCAGGUCAGUUGUUAUUAACUUUGAACAGGUCUCAGGUCAGCUGUAAUUAGCUCUGUCGACAGGUCUCAGGUGAGCUGUUUUUAACUCUGUCAGGUCUCAGGUCAGUUGUUAUUAACUUUGAACAGGUCUCAGGUCAGCUGUAAUUAACUCUGUCGACGGGUCUCAGGUCAGUUGUUAUUAACUGUCAGGUCUCAGGUCAGCUGUUGUUAACUUUGAACAGGUCUCAGGUCAGCUGAAAUUAACUCUGUCGAUAGGUCUCAUGUCAGCUGUUAUUAACUCUGUCAACAGGUCUCAGGUCAGCUGUCAUUAACUCUAAAUAGGUUCCAGGUCAGCUGUUAUUAACUUUGUUGACAGGUCUCAUGUCAGCUGUUAUUAACUCUGUCAACUCUCAGGUCGGCUGUUACUAACUUUGAACAGGUCUCAAGAUAGCUAUUAUUAACUCUGCCAGAUCUCAGGUCAGCUGUCAUUAACUCUGAACAGGUCUCAGGUAAGCUGUUAUUAACUUGGUAGGUCUCAGGUCAGCUGUUAUUAACCUUGAACAGGUCUGAGGUCAGCUGUUAUUAACUCUGUUGGAAGGUAUCAGGUCAGCUGUUAUUCACUCUGUCAAGUCUCAGGUCAGCUGUUAUUAACUUUGAACAGCUCUCAGGUCAACUGUCCUUAAUACUGUCGACAGGUCUGAGGUCAGCUGUUUUUAACUCUGUCGAGAGGUAUCAGGUCAGCUGCUAUUCACUCUGUCAGGUCUCAGGUCAGCUGUUAUUAACUUUGAAGAGGUCUCAGGUCAGCUGUUAUUAACUCUGUCGAUAGGUCACAGGUCAGCUGUUAUUAACUUUGUCAACAGGUAUCAGGUCAGCUGUUAUUAACUUUGAACAGGUCUCAGGUCAGCUGUAAUCAACUCAAUGGACAGGUCUCAGGUCAGCUGUUAUUAACUCUGUCGACAGGUAUCAGGUCAGCUGUUAUUCACUCUGUCAGGUCUCAGGUCAGCUGUUGUUAACUUUGAACAGGUCUCAGGUCAGUUGUAAUUAACGCUGUCGACAGGUCUCAGGUCAGUUGUUAUUAACUCUGUCAGGUCUCAGGUCAGCUGUUAUUAACUUUGAACAGGUCUCAGGUCAGCUGUAAGUAAUUCUGUUGAUAGGUCUCAGGUCAGCUCUUACUAACUAUAAAUAGGUUACAGGUCAGCUGUUAUUAACUUUGAACAGGUCUCAUUUCAGCUAUAAUUCACUCUUUUGACAGUUCUCAGGUCAGCUGUUAUUAACUUUGAACAGGUGUUAGAUCAGCUGUAAUUAACUCUGUCGACAGGUCUCAGGUCGGCUGUUAUUAACUCCUUCAACAGGUCUCAGGUCAGCCAAUAUUGAGUCUGUUGACAGGUCUCAGGUCAGCUGUUUUUAACUUUGAACAGGUCUCAGGCCAGCUGUAAUUAACUCUGUUGACAGGUUUCAGGUCAGCUGUUAUUCACUCUGUCAGGUCUCAGGUCAGGUGUUAUUAACUGAACAGUUCUCGGGUCAGCUGUUAUUCACUCUGUCGACAGGUCUCAGGUCAGCCAAUAUUGAGUCUGUUGACAGGUCUCAGGUCAGCUGUUUUUAACUUUGAACAGGUCUCAGGCCAGCUGUAAUUAACUUUGAACAGCUCUCAGGUCAACUGUCAUUAAUUCUGUCGACAGGUCUGAGGUCAGCUGUUUUUAACUCUGUCGAGAGGUAUCAGGUCAGCUGCUAUUCACUCUGUCAGGUCUCAGGUCAGCUGUUAUUAACUUUGAAGAGGUCUCAGGUCAGCUGUUAUUAACUCUGUCGAUAGGUCACAGGUCAGCUGUUAUUAACUUUGUCAACAGGUAUCAGGUCAGCUGUUAUUAACUUUGAACAGGUCUCAGGUCAGCUGUAAUCAACUCAAUGGACAGGUCUCAGGUCAGCUGUUAUUAACUCUGUCGACAGGUAUCAGGUCAGCUGUUAUUCACUCUAUCAGGUCUCAGGUCAGCUGUUGUUAACUUUGAACAGGUCUCAGGUCAGCUGUAAUUAACGCUGUCGACAGGUCUCAGGUCAGUUGUUAUUAACUCUGUCAGGUCUCAGGUCAGCUGUUAUUAACUUUGAACAGGUCUCAGGUCAGCUGUAAGUAAUUCUGUUGACAGGUCUCAGGUCAGCUCUUACUAACUAUAAAUAGGUUCCAGGUCAGCUGUUAUUAACUUUGAACAGGUCUCAUUUCAGCUAUAAUUCACUCUUUUGACAGUUCUCAGGUCAGCUGUUAUUAACUCCUUCAACAGGUCUCAGGUCAGCCAAUAUUGAGUCUGUUGACAGGUCUCAGGUCAGCUGUUUUUAACUUUGAACAGGUCUCAGGCCAGCUGUAAUUAACUUUGAACAGCUCUCAGGUCAACUGUCAUUAAUUCAUUGUUGACAGGUCUCAGGUCAGCUGUUAUUAACUCUGCCGAGAGGUCUCAGGUCAGCUGUUAUUAACUCUGUUGAGAGGUCUCCGGUCAGCUGUUAUUCACUCUAUAAAGUCUCAGGUCAGCUGUUAUUAAUUUUGAACAGAUCUCAGGUCAGCUGUUAUUCACUCUGUCAGAUCUCAGGUCAGCUGUUAUUAACUUUGAACAGGUCUCAGGUCAGCUGUUAUUAACUUUGAAGAGGUCUCAGGUCAGGUGUUAUUAACUCUGUCAACAGGUAUCAGGUCAGCUGUUAUUAACUUUGAAGAGGUCUCAGGUCAGCUGUAAUCAACUCUGUUGACAGGUCUCAGGUCAGCUGUUAUUAACUCUGCCGAGAGGUAUCAGGUCAGCUGUUAUUCACUCUGUCAGGUCUCAGGUCAGGUGUUAUUCACUUUGAACAGUUCUCAGGUCAGCUGUUAUUAACUCUGUUGAGAGGUCUCAGGUCAGCUGUUAUUCACUCUGUCAAGUCUCAGGUCAGCUGUUAUUAAUUUUGAACAGAUCUCAGGUCAGCUGUUAUUCACUCUGUCAAGUCUCAGGUCAGCUGUUAUUAAUUUUGAACAGGUCUCAGGUCAGCUGUUAUUAACUCUGUUGAGAGGUCUCAGGUCAGCUGUUAUUAACUCUGUCGACAGGUCUCAGGUCAGCUGUUAUUAACUUUGAACAGGUAUCAGGUCAGCUUUUAUUAACUGUUCAGGUCAGGUGUUAUUCACUUUGAACAGGUCUCAGGUCAGCUGUUAUUCACUCUGUCAAGUCUCAGGUCAGCUGUUAUUAAUUUUGAACAGAUCUCAGGUCAGCUGUUUUUAACUCUGUCGACAGGUCUCAGGUCAGCUGUUAUUAGCUCUGUCAAUAAGUCUCACAUCAGCUGUUAUCAACUCUGUCAACAGGUCUCAGGUCAGCUGUUAUUAACUCUGUCGAGAGGUGUCAGGUCAGCUGUUAUUAACUUUGAAAAGGUAUCAGGUCAGCUGUUAUUCACUCUGUCAGGUCUCAGGUCAGCUGUUAUUAACUUUGAACAGGUCUCAGGUCAGCUGUUAUUAAUUGUCAACAGGUCUUAGGUCGGCUGUUAUUACCUGUGUGAACAGGUCUCAGGUCAACUGUUAUUAACUCUGUCGAGAGGUGCUAGGUCAGCUGUUAUUAACUUUGAACAGGUCUCAGGUAAGCUGUUCUUCACUCUAUCAACAUGUCUCAGGUCAGCUGUUAUUAGCUCUGUCAAUAAGUCUCAGGUCAGCUGUUAUUAUCUCUGUCAACAGGUUUCAGGUCAGCUAUUAUUAACUUUGAACAGGUCUCAGGACAGCUGUUAUUAUCUCUGUCAACAGGUUUCAGGUCAGCUGUUAUUACCUGUGUCAACAGGUCUCAGGUCAGCUGUUAUUAACUUUGAACAGGUCUCAGGUCAGCUGUUAUUAACUCUGUCAAGAGGUCUCAGGUCAGCUCUUAUUAACUCUGUCGAGAAGUAUCAGGUCAGAUGUUAUUAACUCUGUCGAGAGGUAUGAGGUCAGCUGCUAUUCACUCUGUCAGGUCUCAGGUCAGCUGUUAUUAACUUUGAACAGGUCUCAGGUCAGCUGUAAUCAACUCUGUUGACAGGUCUCAGGUCAGCUGUUAUUAACUCUGCCGAGAGGUAUCAGGUCAGCUGUUAUUCACUCUGUCAAGUCUCAGGUCAGCUGUUAUUAAUUUUGAACAGAUCUCAGGUCAGCUGUUAUUAACUCUGUUGAGAGGUCUCAGGUCAGCUGUUAUUAACUCUGUCGACAGGUCUCAGGUCAGCUGUUAUUAACUCUGUCGACAGGUGUUCGGUCAGCUGUUAUUAACUUUGAACAGGUAUCAGGUCAGCUGUUAUUAACUGUUCAGGUCAGGUGUUAUUAACUUUGAACAGGUCUCAGGUCAGCUGUUAUUAACUCUGUCGAUAGGUCACAGGUCAGCUGUUAUUAACUUUGUCAACAGGUAUCAGGUCAGCUGUUAUUAACUUUGAACAAGUCUCAGGUCAGCUGUAAUCAACUCUGUUGACAGGUCUCAGGUCAGCUGUUAUUAACUCUGCCGAGAGGUAUCAGGUCAGCUGUUAUUCACUCUGUCAAGUCUCAGGUCAGCUGUUAUUAAUUUUGAACAGAUCUCAGGUCAGCUGUUAUUAACUCUGUUGAGAGGUCUCAGGUCAGCUGUUAUUAACUCUGUCGACAGGUCUCAGGUCAGCUGUUAUUAACUCUGUCGACAGGUGUUCGGUCAGCUGUUAUUAACUUUGAACAGGUAUCAGGUCAGCUGUUAUUAACUGUUCAGGUCAGGUGUCAUUAACUUUGAACAGGUCUCAGGUCAGCUGUUAUUAACUUUGAAGAGGUCUCAGGUCAGCUGUUAUUAACUCUGUCGAUAGGUCACAGGUCAGCUGUUAUUAACUUUGUCAACAGGUAUCAGGUCAGCUGUUAUUAACUUUGAACAGGUCUCAGGUCAGCUGUAAUCAACUCUGUUGACAGGUCUCAGGUCAGCUGUUAUUAACUCUGCCGAGAGGUAUCAGGUCAGCUGUUAUUCACUCUGUCAAGUCUCAGGUCAGCUGUUAUUUAUUUUGAACAGAUCUCAGGUCAGCUGUUAUUAACUCUGUUGAGAGGUCUCAGGUCAGCUGUUAUUAACUCUGUCGACAGGUGUUCGGUCAGCUGUUAUUAACUUUGAACAGGUAUCAGGUCAGCUGUUAUUAACUGUUCAGGUCAGGUGUUAUUCACUUUGAACAGGUCUCAGGUCAGCUGUUAUUAAUUUUGAACAGAUCUCAGGUCAGCUGUUUUUAACUCUGUCGACAGGUCUCAGGUCAGCUGUUAUUAGCUCUGUCAAUAAGUCUCACAUCAGCUGUUAUCAACUCUGUCAACAGGUCUCAGGUCAGCUGUUAUCAACUCUGUCAACAGGUCUCAGGUCAGCUGUUAUUAACUCUGUCGAGAGGUGUCAGGUCAGCUGUUAUUAACUUUGAACAGGUCUCAGGUCAGUUGUUAUUAAUUGUCAACAGGUCUCAGGUCAGCUGUUAUUACCUGUGUGAACAGGUCUCAGGUCAGCUGUUAUUCACUCUAUCAACAUGUCUCAGGUCAGCUGUUAUUACCUGUGUCAACAGGUCUCAGGUCAGCUGUUAUCAACUCUGUCAACAGGUCUCAGGUCAGCUGUUAUUAACUUUGAACAGGUCUCAGGUCAGCUGUUAUUAACUCUGUCGAGAGGUAUGAGGUCAGCUGCUAUUCACUCUGUCAGGUCUCAGGUCAGCUGUUAUUAACUUUUAACAGGUCUCAGGUCAGCUGUUACUAACUCUGUCAAUAGGUCUCAGGUCAGCUCUUAUUAACUCUGUCGACAGGUCUCAUGUCAGCUGUUAUUAACUGUGUUGAGAGGUCUCAGGUCAGCUGUUAUUAACUCCUUCAACAGGUCUCAGGUCAGCUGUUACUAACUGUCAAUAGGCCUCAGGUCAGCUCUUAUUAACUCUGUCGACAGGUCUCAAGUCAGCUGUUAUUAACUGUGUCGAGAGGUGUCAGGUCAGCUGUUAUUAACUUUGAAAAGGUCUCAGGUCAACUGUUAUUAAUUGUCAACAGGUC